GAUCCUGGCUCAGGAUGAACGCUAGCGGCAGGCUUAACACAUGCAAGUCGAGGGGCAGCACGUCUUCGGAUGGUGGCGACCGGCGCACGGGUGCGUAACGCGUAUAGAACCUACCUUUUACAGGGGAAUAGCCCAGAGAAAUUUGGAUUAAUGCCCCAUAGUAUUAUUGAAUGGCAUCAUUUAAUAAUUAAACAUUUAUGGGUAAAAGAUGGCUAUGCGUUCUAUUAGCUAGUAGGUAAGGUAACGGCUUACCUAAGCAACGAUAGAUAGGGGUCCUGAGAGGGAGAUCCCCCACACUGGUACUGAGACACGGACCAGACUCCUACGGGAGGCAGCAGUGAGGAAUAUUGGACAAUGGGCGAGAGCCUGAUCCAGCCAUGCCGCGUGCAGGAAGACGAUCCUAUGGAUUGUAAACUGCUUUUAUACAGGAAGAAACACUCGGACGUGUCCGAGCUUGACGGUACUGUAUGAAUAAGCACCGGCUAACUCCGUG
rnacentral:rRNA from 1 species